rnacentral:rRNA from 1 species
GAUGAACGCUAGCGGCAGGCUUAACACAUGCAAGUCGAGGGGCAGCGCGAUGUAGCAAUACAUUGGCGGCGACCGGCGCACGGGUGCGUAACACGUAUGGAACUUACCCUUUACUGGGAGAUAGCCCGGAGAAAUCCGGAUUAAUAUCCCAUAAUAAACGAAGUGGCAUCACUUUGUUUGAAAGCUCCGGCGGUAAAGGAUGGCCAUGCGCACGAUUAGCUAGUAGGUGAGGUAACGGCUCACCUAGGCUACGAUCGUUAGGGGGCCUGAGAGGGUUAUCCCCCACACUGGUACUGAGACACGGACCAGACUCCUACGGGAGGCAGCAGUGAGGAAUAUUGCGCAAUGGAGGCAACUCUGACGCAGCCAUGCCGCGUGCAGGAAGAAGGCGCUACGCGUUGUAAACUGCUUUUAACCGGGGAGAAACCCUCCGACGUGUCGGAGGUUGACGGUACCGGAGGAAUAAGCACCGGCUAACUUCGNGCCAGCAGCCG